rnacentral:rRNA from 1 species
UACGUAGGGUGCGAGCGUUGUCCGGAAUUAUUGGGCGUAAAGAGCUCGUAGGCGGUCUGUCGCGUCGAUCGUGAAAACUUGGGGCUUAACCCUGAGCUUGCGGUCGAUACGGGCAUGACUGGAGUUCGGCAGGGGAGACUGGAAUUCCUGGUGUAGCGGUGAAAUGCGCAGAUAUCAGGAGGAACACCGGUGGCGAAGGCGGGUCUCUGGGCCGAUACUGACGCUGAGGCGCGAAAGCGUGGGUAGCAAACAGG